CCAACUUUUGUUGGGUUUUGUCUGCUCCUUGCUUUUGCAAGGUUUUGUUUCUUCCCUUUUUCUUGAUUGUUUGUAUACUAGUCUUUUGGGGCUGGUUAUUGGAUGAUCUUGUUAGAUAUGCUAUUUUUGUGGUAGACCUCGUGUAGAUCUCUCUCUAUUGGAGGUGGAGUUGCUGAAUUUGGUGGAUCUACUCUUAUUCUGCUUGGGGAUCAAGGGGGAUUAGGAGAUGUUGUGAUAUUCUUUGGAAUAUCCUGGUGGAAGUUGCACGGUUAUGCCCUCCACUCUUUGGGUGUUUCCUGUCCCAUGAAGUUUGAGAGAUUGUUCUCUGUCUUGAUCUUAUUUAAGCACUAGUUGCUGCAGAAUUAGGGUCCUCCUCAUCUGUAACUCCUUGUUAGUUGGGUUUCAAGUUGUGUAUUUGUUUUCUAACUAUCUUAUAAUACUUGUGCUUAGUUGGUGUUGUUGUUACAGUCUUUGUAUUGCAAGAACCUCCUUCUGGGGCUGUGUUCUUAUUUUUGUAUCCU
rnacentral:lncRNA from 1 species